rnacentral:misc_RNA from 1 species
AGUACUAAUACAAGCAAUGAGCCGUCUUCAACCAGCAAAAGACUGUCAAGAUGAAGUUAAUCCCGCUUCCUCUAGCCUGGCACUCUGUGCUUACGCUCGUACUGUUCAUGGCGCUGUCACCGCUGCUCGCUCUCACCGUCUCCGCCGCAGCCCCGAAAGUGAAAAUCAUACCUUCCGGAGCCAAGAGCAUCUCUGGGUGUCGUGCGAGGCCUGUCUCUGUUGUCUUCAAUAGCAUCGUGAGCCGCGCAGCCAACGGCUCAACAGUGGCAUUUAAGCUGCAUCGUUUGACCAGCGAUCAAAAAUCGCUGGCAGUCGUUAGCAGCGAAGGCGUGAAGGCUUCAAGCAUUGGCGACUGCGCCCGAGCAGCGGCUGCCACAAGUGAUGCGUUCGAAUACGCCGACGGGACUUGUUCAUUGCUCAAAUUGAGGCCGCUUAGCUGUACGGUCGCCGGGGACAACUAUGUCUACGUCAGGGAGGGCUUCGUCGGGGACGUUGGAAAUAACACACUACAGGUCAACGGCUUGACCUACAAAGUGAUGUAUCUUAAGCCAAUAUAUCAGGCAUGGAUAGACGACGAGACAACCAUUUCGAGCGGUUUCUAUCCAACUGAAGAAGAUAUUGCUCUCCAUUUACCGGACGGAACAGUUAGAACUGGCGCCACCUCACAUCUGGACUUGGAGCGAUGCAUAUCUAACGACCCAAAAGGGAUAAUGGCUGUCAUGCUUCAGAGUUCAUAUGAAACUAAAGAUAAAUUCUAUUUCAUAAAGAGCAUGUGCGGAAUGAUCAACGUUUCCGUCGCACUGGACGACGUCUUCUUGUCGCAUGAAGGACUCGGAUGCACGCCGUUCCCGGCAAUGACGUCGGAAUGCGUCGUGACAUUGGACGUUCAGAACGAUGUUGAAAUGCAGGGAGUGCCGUACGACUUUGUUAGUGAGACGGGCGAUUGUGGCGGCCUCAGUGUAACUGUCACCCACCAUCGCUAUCUACAAAAUUAUACAUAUAGCAUGUGCACUGAAACGGGACUGUACGCACCAUACAACUUCACACCUACUGCACUGUCAGAACUUCAGAUCUCUGGAAGGGCCACAUCAGAUCGACAGCGAACAGGAUUUGCCAUAAGAAUCGUCGAAGGCGACGGUUAAAAAGACUCCAACUGCAACAUCAGAGGAUCGGAUGUGCCAUCAUGAUCAUUCUAACGCCAAGUUUAAAAUAAAUCCAGCUGCAAUGAGGUAAAAAUUUAAACAUUCACCACCGCAUACGACAAACUGUUCAGAAGACCAGUUUCCUUGAACAUGUUGAUUCCACGGAAGUAGUUUAGGCGAAUUUAUAAGUAAUUAAGUAAAUUGAUUUGUUGAAAAGCACAAAUGUCCAUCUGCAGUAAUCAAAGGCUUGAAUGUGAAACGUGAAUGGAAAUACCGCAGCAGGUAUUGAAAAAAAGGUAUCCCAC